rfam:Triticum aestivum genome assembly, contig: Triticum_aestivum_CS42_TGACv1_scaffold_467539_5DS
CAAGUACUCCCUCCGUCCGGAAUUACUUGUCAUCAAAAUGGAUGUGUCUAGAACUAAAAUACAUCUAGAUACAUCCAUUUCAUUGAAAAGUAUUUUUGGACGGAGGGAGUACAAG